rnacentral:rRNA from 1 species
CGGUGGAGUAUGUGGUUUAAUUCGACGCAACGCGCAGAACCUUACCUAGACUUGACAUCCCGGGGAUUUUCUGGAAACAGAGAAGUGCUUUAGCAAUAAAGAACCCGGUGACAGGUGCUGCAUGGCUGUCGUCAGCUCGUGUCGUGAGAUGUUGGGUUAAGUCCCGCAACGAGCGCAACCCUCGCCUUUAGUUGCCAGCAUUCAGUUGGGCACUCUAGAGGGACUGCCGGUGAUAAAUCGGAGGAAGGUGGGGACGACGUCAAAUCAUCAUGCCCUUUAUGUCCUGGGCUACACACGUACUACAAUGGCCGUUACAACGGGAAGCGAAGGAGCAAUCCGGAGCAAAUCCCUUAAAGGCGGUCCCAGUUCAGAUUGUGGGCUGAAACUCGCCCACAUGAAGGCGGAAUUGCUAGUAAUUGCAGAUCAGCAUGCUGCAGUGAAUACGUUCCCGGGCCUU